GCCCGUAUAGCUCAGUGGUAGAGCGCAUCACUCGUAUCAAAUUGCGACAUGAUGAGGUCCGCGGUUCAAUCCCGCGUGGGGGCA
rnacentral:tRNA from 1 species